rnacentral:rRNA from 1 species
GCGUGAGUGAAGAAGGCCUUCGGGUUGUAAAGCUCUUUCAGGUGGAAAGAAAACGCAUAGGUUAAUACCUUGUGCGGAUGACGGUACCAUCAGAAGAAGCACCGGCUAACUACGUGCCAGCAGCCGCGGUAAUACGUAGGGUGCGAGCGUUAAUCGGAAUUACUGGGCGUAAAGCGUGCGCAGGCGGUUAUGUAAGACAGAUGUGAAAUCCCCGGGCUCAACCUGGGAACUGCGUUUGUGACUGCAUAACUAGAGUACGGCAGAGGGAGGUGGAAUUCCGCGUGUAGCAGUGAAAUGCGU